rnacentral:rRNA from 1 species
CCAGCCUGCAGUGGGUACGGGCAGACUAGAGUUCGGUAGGGGAGAUUGGAAUUCCUGGUGUAGCGGUGGAAUGCGCAGAUAUCAGGAGGAACACCGAUGGCGAAGGCAGAUCUCUGGGCCGUAACUGACGCUGAGGAGCGAAAGCAUGGGGAGCGAACAGGAUUAGAUACCCUGGUAGUCCAUGCCGUAAACGUUGGGAACUAGAUGUAGGGGCCAUUCCACGGUUUCUGUGUCGCAGCUAACGCAUUAAGUUCCCCGCCUGGGGAGUACGGCCGCAAGGCUAAAACUCAAAGGAAUUGACGGGGGCCCGCACAAGCGGCGGAGCAUGCGGAUUAAUUCGAUGCAACGCGAAGAACCUUACCAAGGCUUGACAUAUACCGGAAACGUCCAGAGAUGGUCGCCCCGCAAGGUCGGUAUACAGGUGGUGCAUGGUUGUCGUCAGCUCGUGUCGUGAGAUGUUGGGUUAAGUCCCGCAACGAGCGCAACCCUCGUUCUAUGUUGCCAGCACGUGAUGGUGGGAACUCAUAGGAGACUGCCGGGGUCAACUCGGAGGAAGGUGGGGAUGACGUCAAAUCAUCAUGCCCCUUAUGUCUUGGGCUUCACGCAUGCUACAAUGGCCGAUACAAAGGGCUGCAAUACCGUAAGGUGGAGCGAAUCCCAAAAAGUCGGUCUCAGUUCGGAUUGAGGUCCGCAACUCGACCUCAUGAAGUCGGAGUCGCUAGUAAUCGCAGAUCAGCAACGCAGCG